UCCCAGCACCCCGAGUGGUCGGGACGAUUAUUGGGCCUAAAGCAUCCGUAGCCGGUUCUACAAGUCUUCCGUUAAAUCCACCUGCUUAACAGAUGGGCUGCGGAGGAUACUAUGGAGCUAGGAGGCGGGAGAGGCAAGCGGUACUUAGUGGGUAGGGGUAAAAUCCGUUGAUCCAUUGAAGACCACCAGUGGCGAAGGCGGCUUGCCAGAACGCACUCGACGGUGAGGGAUGAAAGCUGGGGGAGCAAACCGG
rnacentral:rRNA from 1 species